rnacentral:misc_RNA from 1 species
AUUCUUGUUCCAAACAUCAUCUAACACAAGCAAAAAUUUCUUCCCUUCUAAAGCCUCAUACAGCCUGACCUGAACCAGAGUCCAAUCCUUCAAAUCACAAGGUUGGAAAGUGAUUGACUCAAGAAUGGAUUUGGUUAUUCUCAUUAAAUCAAAUUCAUCAGAGACAAAAACCCAUGCCUUAAGAUCAAAAUGUGUCACAACUGAUUCAUCAUUGUAGACCAGU